AAACACUAGAUCUGGACAAUCCCACUAAGACUAACAAAAAGAGGAAUUACAAACUGAGAGGAAUUCACCUGUGACUAAGGAUUGCUUAGGCAGGGGAACAGAAACCUGAUGUUCCUAAACAGCUUUCGUAAGCGAAGAGAAGCAAGGAUGAGUUCUCAUCCCAAGGUGGAAGCCCUGCUUCAAAAGCCAGAGCCCAGUAUCUGCAGA